rnacentral:tmRNA from 1 species
GGGGCUGAUUCUGGAUUCGACGGGAUUUGCGAAACCCAAGGUGCAUGCCGAGGGGCGGUUGGCCUCGUAAAAAGCCGCAAAAAAAUAGUCGCAAACGACGAAACCUACGCUUUAGCAGCUUAAUAACCUGCUUAGAGCCCUCUCUCCCUAGCCUCCGCUCUUAGGACGGGGAUCAAGAGAGGUCAAACCCAAAAGAGAUCGCGUGGAUGCCCUGCCUGAGGUUGAAGCGUUAAAACGAAUCAGGCUAGUCUGGUAGUGGCGUGUCCGUCCGCAGGUGCCAGGCGAAUGUAAAGACUGACUAAGCAUGUAGUACCGAGGAUGUAGGAAUUUCGGACGCGGGUUCAACUCCCGCCAGCUCCACCA